GAUAAACGCUGGCGGCGUGCAUGAGACAUGCAAGUCGAACGGACGAUCAGGGCUUGCUCUGAUCGUUAGUGGCGGACGGCUGAGUAACGCGUAGGUGACCUGCCCCGAAGUGGGGAAUAACUGCCCGAAAGGGUGGCUAAUACCGCAUGUGGUGGUGCCUUCAUGGGCACCAGUAAAGCCGCAAGGCGCUUCGGGAGGGGCCUGCGUCCGAUUAGCUCGUGGUGGGGUAACGGCUCACCAAGGCGACGAUCGGUAGGUGGUCUGAGAGGACGAUCACCCAGACUGGGACUGAGACACGGCCCAGACUCCUACGGGAGGCAGCAGUCGGGAAUUUUGCGCAAUGGACGAAAGUCUGACGCAGCAACGCCGCGU
rnacentral:rRNA from 1 species